rnacentral:rRNA from 1 species
UGGAUAAGCGCCAAUGAUGUUAUGCUUCCAAGAAAAGCUCGUACACCUCUAAAAGCAAUUUUAGAAAAACACAAAAAUGACCUGUACCUGAAACCGACACAGGUAGGUUGGUAGAGAAUACUAAGGGGCGCGAGAGAACUCUCUCUAAGGGACUCGGCAAACUAGCCCCGUAACUUCGGGAGAAGGGGCGCCCUUUACAAAAAGGGUCGCAGUGAACCGGUUCUGGCAACUGUUUAUCAAAAACACAGGUCUCCGCAAAGUCGUAAGACAAUAUAUGGGGGCUGACGCCUGCCCAGUGCCGGAAGGUCAAGGAAGUUGGUUAUAAGCCUUCGGGUUUAGAAGCUGACGACCGAAGCCCCGGUGAACGGCGGCUGUAACUAUGACAGUCCUAAGGUAGCGAAAUUCAUUGUCGAGUAAGUUUCGACCUGCACGAAAGGCGUAAUGAUCAGAACGCUGUCUCGGAGAGAGACUCGGUGAAAUAGACUUGUCCGUGAAGAUGCGGACUACUAAUACUUGGACAGAAAGACCCUAUGAAGCUUGACUGUAUCCUGGAAUUGGGUUCGGGCUUUUCUUGCGCAGUCUAGGUGGGAGGCUAUGAAGAUUUCCUUCCGGGGAAGUUGGUGCCAACAGUGAGAGACCACUCUGGAGAGGCUAGAAUCCUAAUGGUGAUCCUUGAAUCAGGACACUUGACAGUUUCAGGUGGGCAGUUUUUCUGGGGCGGAAGCCUCAUAAAAGGUAACUGAGGCGCGCAAAGGUUCCCUCAGUCUGGACGGAAAUCAGACAGCGAGUGUAAAGGCAAAAGGGAACUUGACUGCAAGACCAACAAGUCGAGCAGGAGCGAAAGCUGGCCUUAGUGAUCCGACGGUGCCGCGUGGAAGGGCCGUCGCUCAACGAAUAAAAGUUACUCUAGGAUAACAGGCUGAUCUUCUCCAAGGGUUCACAUCGACGAGAAGGUUUGGCACCUCGAUGUCGGCUCAUCACAUCCUGGGGCUGUAGUAGGUCCCAAGGGUUGGGCUGUUCGCCCAUUAAAGUGGUACGUGAGCUGGGUUCAGAACGUCGUAAGACAGUUCGGUCCAUAUCCGGUAUUAGCGUUAGAAUAUUGAGGUCAGUCACUCAUAGUACGAGAGGACCUGUAGUGAACAUGCCAAUGGUGUACCUGUUAUUUUUCCAAAAGUAAACGCAGGGUAGCCACGCAUGGAGUGAAUAAGUACUGAAUGCAUCUAAGUACGAAGUCCAGACCAAGAUGAGUAUUCUCCAUUAGGCCGCAGCAAGACAAGCUGUUGUAUAGGUAUCAAGUGUAAGGCCAGUAAUGGUUUCAGCUGAGAUAUACUAAAGGCUAAUUGA